UCUUCCACAAUGGACGCAAGUCUGAUGGAGCAACGCCGCGUGAGUGAAGAAGGUUUUCGGAUCGUAAAGCUCUGUUGUUGGUGAAGAAGGAUAGAGGUAGUAACUGGCCUUUAUUUGACGGUAAUCAACCAGAAAGUCACGUCUAACUACGUUCCAGCAGCCGCGGUAAUACGUAGGUGGCAAGCGUUGUUCGGAUUUAGUGGGCGUAAAGCGAGCGCAUGCGGAAGAAUAAGUCUGAUGUGAAAGCCCUCGGCUUAACCGAGGAAUUGCAUCGGAAACUGUUUUUCUUGAGUGCAGGAGAGGAGAGUGGAACUCCAUGUGUAGCGGUGGAAUGCGUAGAUAUAUGGAAGAGCACCAGUGGCGAAGGCGGCUCUCUGGUCUGCAACUGACGCGGAGGCUCGAAAGCAUGGGUAGCGAACAG
rnacentral:rRNA from 1 species